GGAAACGGAGAAGGACUAAAAGACUUGAACAUCAAUUACAAAGAGGAACAAAGAACGUACUGCAGUCAUCCAUUUUUACCUUCACAAACGUGUAGAAGUCUAAGGAAAUGAAGAGGAGGAGCAGGACACUUCCACAAAGUGAAUUGAAGGACAGAGAGGAUAGGAGCAACUUGUAUUGACUUCAUUCCUCUCGAAACUUCAUUAGCCUUGGUUUUGAGUAGAGAAGGAAAAAGGAGGACUCCGACAAUGAUGUCAACUUUCCGACAAGAAUAUGUUCUCUUUGACUAAGGCCCUUGAGGUAGAUUUUCCCAUCAUUCUAAGUUAUGUUUAUGACAAGUUUCUAAUUGGGAAAUAUAUCUUGGGUGUCCUUAGUAAUUUUAGAGAUAUCGGUUUAUAGCUAAUACGACUUAAAAACCUAAGUCGUAAGUUACACUACCUUAUAUUGUUGACAUAUUAAUUUUGUUAACUAUUUGUAUGAGUGUGACUAAGGUAAUAGAUACGAGUACUCGAUAGUACUCAAAGAAAUAUGUCGAUAAGUGGGUACCAUAGUUAGCUAUAAUCGAUAUUUGACCAUCACUUUGGUCAAACCGGGAAUAAGGAGUCAAACCUCUU